rnacentral:rRNA from 1 species
UACGGAGGGGACUAGCGUUGUUCGGAAUUACUGGGCGUAAAGCGCACGUAGGCGGAUUUGUAAGUCAGGGGUGAAAUCCCGGGGCUCAACCUCGGACUGCCUUUGAUACUGGGGAUCUCGAGUCCGGAAGAGGUUGGUGGAACUGCGAGUGUAGAGGUGAAAUUCGUAGAUAUUCGCAAGAACACCAGUGGCGAAGGCGGCCAACUGGUCCGGUACUGACGCUGAGGUGCGAAAGCGUGGGGAGCAAACAGG